AAAUGUUAUUUUUUUUAAGAAAACAAUCAACUAUUAUAUUUGAUCGAAAAGGUUCUGAUGCGCAUGCCCCGUCUAUGACCUUAACCCAGACCUAAGUCAAACUUAAUUCGGCCUUAAUCUGAGCUGUGACGUCAAUGCUCGAUAAAACAUGGCAAGUUUUUCAUCCGAUUAUUGGCCAGACAACGCUUUCUCUGUUCAAAUUUUUACACUUUCAACUCUUUCAUAAUAUUUUAUAAGAUAUGUUGAAUUGCGAGAUCUCGAAUAUAUCGUAAUAUAUCUUGGAAAAUGGGUAGAAUUUUUUUUCGAAGAAGUGUUGAGGAAGUCACAUGGCGUUCCUUGCAUUGUGAUGACCGAAGUGACAAAUUAAAAUUUACGAUGAGGAAACCCCUCAAUCCCAGAUAAAAUUUACAAGCAUCCACGAACAUAACCUUUUGGCUUCAUAUGUUUAAACAGAAGACAAAAAUUUAUAAACAUUUGAAAAUGGAUAUUUUUUAAAAUAUCUCUCGACGAGGACACGAUUCGCUGUAGGUCGUCCCUUGAUAAGACGAGAAUUGAUAAUUCAAAGAGAUCUUUAUUCUUCCAUAUGGAUUAUAUGUAAAACAUGGCUCGCGAUAUAAACUUUGAGUUAGAAUGAUCAUGUACGUUCCUUCAUUUUACCCUCUUUACGAGCUGGGUCUGUUUGGAAUAAUUGUGUUCUAGUUUCCUAUCUCGCCAAGCUCCCUUAAAGGCUCUAUAAAAAGUAAUUUUAUUCUUUUAAUUUCUUGUUUAAUUCUGUGCUAGGGAAUUUUAUCAUUUUGGUGGGAUAAUUAAGAAGUUUACAGGAAGAAGGGUCAUAUUAAUUUAUAUUUGAAAGUCUAAGUAUAACAUAAAAGUGACUGUGUUUUUUUUUUAAAUAAUAAAUGUGCAUUUACUUUCAUUCUUUUUUUUUUU